CCUUGCUGAACUUAGUUCUUUUGUAAAUUUCUUGGCAUUUACUACAUACAUCAUUAUGUCACCUACAAAUGACAUGUGCCUUUUAUUUCCUUUUCUUGUCUUUUCAUACAGGCUAGACCAUCUAGUACUAUGUUAAAUAGCAGUGGUGAAGGUAUACCCUUGUCUUGUUCUUGUUCUUAAACAGAAAGCAUUCAGUCUUUCACAAACUGCUGAAUCUCCCCAUGACUUCUCUCAGAGCAACCAGACUCUUUAAUGCAUGCAUAAGACCAUAAUCCAAUGUCUAUAAUCCAAGGUCAAGACUGCUUCAGACGUUAGUCUCAGUUACAAACAGCUCCAGAAGUGCUUAAAAGCAAAAUUUUGGUGCCAGUGACCUGGUUCCUAACUCUGAUUUAAUGACUUAUUAGACACCUGACUAUGAACUAGUCAGUUAACUCUUCUAAUCCCUUCACUUAUAAAAUGCUUAGUACAUGGCCUGGCACACAGAAAGCAAUCAAUAAAUUUUAGCUUGAGGGGCAGAACAAGAUGGGUGAAUAGUGGGCUUCACCAAUCGUCCUCCUCUGCAUGAACACCAAUUUGAAAACUAUCUACACAAACGAAGCACCUUCAUAUUUUAAGUUGGUGCAAAAGUAAUUUUGCUUUUCACCAACAAUCAGGUGAGCACUCACAGUGCCU